rnacentral:rRNA from 1 species
GUGUCAGCCGCCGCGGUAACACGGGGGGAACGAGCGUUGUUCGGAUUUACUGGGCGUAAAGGGUGCGUAGGCGGGCCGAUAAGUCGGGUGUGAAACCCCGCAGCUUAACUGCGGGACGCCAUUCGAAACUGUCGGUCUUGAGUGCAGGAGAGGAGAGUGGAAUUCCUGGUGUAGCGGUGAAAUGCGUAGAUAUCAGGAGGAACACCGGUGGCGAAGGCGGCUCUCUGGACUGACACUGACGCUGAGGCACGAAGGCCGGGGGAGCAAACAGGAUUAGAUACCCUGGUAGUCCCGGCGGUAAACGAUGGGCACUAGGUGUCGGGGGUAUCGACCCCCUCGGUGCCGCAGUUAACACAUUAAGUGCCCCGCCUGGGGAGUACGGCCGCAAGGUUGAAACUUAAAUGAAUUGACGGGG